GUAGCCGGUCCCAAGAGUAUGACUGUUCGCCCAUUUAAAGAGGUACGUGAGCUGGGUUUAAAACGUCGUGAGACAGUUUGGUCCCUAUCUUCCGUGAGCGCUGCAGAUUUGAGGAAGCCUGCUCCUAGUACGAGAGGACCGAGAGUGGACACACCUCUGGUGUAUCGGUUGUCACGCCAGUGGCAUUGCCGAGUAGCUAAGUGUGGAAGAGAUAACCGCUGAAAGCAUCUAAGCGGGAAACUCGUUUCAAGAUGAGAUCUGCCGGGGCCUUGAGCCCCCUGAAGAGUCGUUCAAGACCAGGACGUUGAUAGGCAGGGUGUGGAAGCGCAGUAAUGCGUUAAGCUAACCUGUACUAAUUGCUCGUGCGGCUUGACCCU
rnacentral:ncRNA from 1 species